rnacentral:rRNA from 1 species
AUUGAACGCUGGCGGCAUGCCUUACACAUGCAAGUCGAACGGUAACAUAAGAAAAGCUUGCUUUUCUUGAUGACGAGUGGCGGACGGGUGAGUAAUAUUUGGGAAACUACCUGAUAGAGGGGGACAACAGUUGGAAACGACUGCUAAUACCGCAUACAGCCUCAGGGUGAAAGAAGCGAUUCGCUAUCAGAUGUGCCCAAACGGGAUUAGCUAGUAGGUGAGGUAAAGGCUCACCUAGGCGACGAUCUCUAGCUGGUCUGAGAGGAUGAUCAGCCACAUUGGGACUGAGACACGGCCCAGACUCCUACGGGAGGCAGCAGUAGGGAAUAUUGCACAAUGGAGGAAACUCUGAUGCAGCCAUGCCGCGUGUGUGAAGAAGGCCUUCGGGUUGUAAAGCACUUUCGGAGGGGAGGAAAAAAAUGACGUUACCCUCAGAAGAAGCACCGGCUAACUCCGUGCCAGCCGCCGCCGUAAAAC